AAUGAACGCUGGCGGCAGGCCUAAUACAUGCAAGUCGAGCGAGCGGCGGACGGGUGAGUACUGUCUGGGAAACUGCCUGAUGGAGGGGGAUAACUACUGGAAACGGUAGCUAAUACCGCAUACCAUCAGCUGUGCGCAGAUGGGAUUAGCUAGUGGGUGGGGUAACGGCUCACCUAGGCGACGAUCCCUAGCUGGUCUGAGAGGGUGACCAGCCACACUGGAACUGAGACACGGUCCAGACUCCUACGGGAGGCAGCAGUGGGGAAUAUUUCACAAUGGGCGCAAGCCUGAUGCAGCCAUGCCGCGUGUGUGAAGAAGGCCUUCGGGUUGUAAAGCACUUUCAGCGGGGAGGCGUUACCCACAGAAGAAGCACCGGCUAACUCCGUGCCAGCCGCCGCGGUAAUAC
rnacentral:rRNA from 1 species